rnacentral:rRNA from 1 species
CCUACGGGCGGCAGCAGUGAGGAAUAUUGGUCAAUGGCCGCAGGGCUGAACCAGCCAAGUCGCGUGAGGGAUGACGGUCCUAUGGAUUGUAAACCUCUUUUGUCAGGGAGCAAAGGGCGCCACGUGUGGCGUUUUGCGAGUCCAUGAAGAAAAAGCAUCGGCUAACUCCGUGCCAGCAGCCGCGGUAAUACGGAGGAAGCGAGCGUUAUCCGGAUUUAUUGGGAUAAAAGGGUGCGCUGGCGGAAAGUCACGUCAGCGGUAAAAGUUCGGGGCUCAACCCCGUCGUGCCGUUGAAACUGGGGUUCUUGAGUGAGCGAGAAGUAUGCGGAAUGCGUGGUGUAGCUGUGAAAUGCAUAGAUAUCACGCAGAACUCCGAUUGCGAAGGCAGCAUACCGGCGCUCAACUGACGCUCAUGCACGAAAGCGUGGGUAUCGAACAGGAUUAGAUACCCUUGUAGUC